rnacentral:rRNA from 1 species
GCAGCCGCCGCGGUAAUACGGAGGGGGCUAGCGUUGUUCGGAAUUACUGGGCGUAAAGCGCACGUAGGCGGCUUGGUAAGUUAGAGGUGAAAGCCUGGAGCUCAACUCCAGAAUUGCCUUUAAGACUGCCGAGCUAGCAGGUGAGAGAGGUAAGUGGAAUUCCGAGUGUAGAGGUGAAAUUCGUAGAUAUUCGGAAGAACACCAGUGGCGAAGGCGGCUCACUGGCUCAUUCUAGACGCUGAGGUGCGAAAGCGUGGGGAGCAAACAGGAUUAGAGACCCCAGUAGUCCCUGUCUCUUAUAC